rnacentral:lncRNA from 1 species
CAACGGUGGUCACGCUGGGCACUCUUCUCUCCCCACGGAAACUCAACCUCCAGAGAGAACCAGCGCCAGGGGCCUGUGGGAAAACAGGAUGAUGCUCAUUCCAAGAUUUUCUGUUUUAUUUCUGUCUUUUGCAAUCGUUGGCCUGCUUUGCUGCCAUAAAUGAGGGAAUUGUGGCUAAGAGAGCAAUCUGCCGGAAGCAUCUCCUCAUCCAUCGGUGGACACUAACCACAGCUAUAACCGGGACAACUAGAGACACUGUCCAAGUCCUCUGUCAAAUUCACAACUUAGCUUGCCCUUAGGUGUGAAUACAGACUGACCCCAGGGCCGGAGGGGCUGCUGUUGUGAGCCUUUCCUGCUGGAGGGGCCUAAGGACUCAGUUCCCUUUAUCUAAGACAAAACCGAAUGGAGACAGUAAGAGCCCAUCACACUCCACCCUCCCUCCCUCACCUUCUUGCAGAGCUGGUAGAGUGUAGUGGCCAAGAGCAGGUCCUCUGCGGUGUCACAAUUGGAGACCUCUUCUGAAUCCAUCCCUCACCAACUCAGUGACCAGAGCUGGUUACCCAACCUCUCAGUGCUUCAGGUUUGGUUUGAUGUUUUCAAUCUCUAGAAUGCAACAGUCGUAGAGUUGGUGAGAAGAUUAUGCAGCUGUGCUGAGGAAAGAGUAAGAGCUCAAACAUGUCAGCUGUCAUUCAAAUGUCACUACAAUGGCCUUUUUUCAAGUGUGAUCCACUUGCACCAAAAUUACCUGAGGUGCUUGUGACAAGGAUCUUACAGAUUCAGUCUCCACGGAAGGUUCCAGAAGUGUUUUAGUGAUCGAGGCAGGGGCUCUACAGUCAGACAGACCCAACUUCAAAUCUUACCUUGCACCUUAGUUAGAUCUGCGUGAUGUGCAACAAGUUAAUGCAUUUAGCUUCUUGGAGUCUUUGUUUCAAUAAAUUAAGACAUUAAUAUCUA